UUUUUUUUUUUCAUUUUUUUUCCUGUAGAUACAUGGAUGGAUGGAUGUGAGAUGGUGAGAUAAAUGGAUGGAUGGAUGGGUGCCAUGUCAUCGAUCCGUAGGAAGAGUUCUGAUUGGUUCGAAAAAUCAUUGAUUUAAAAUAGUUUCCAAGUAGUAAAAAUAGAGGAAUUUUGUGAAACAUCUAUCAAAAAUAUUUUGCAAAAGGGCAUCACACAAAUUUUUACAAGAGUUAGAUCACAUUUUAUGGAUGUGGAC
rnacentral:lncRNA from 1 species